GUCUACAUAGUAUAGCGGUUAGUAUACCUCGUUGUGGUUGCCUAAAUAACUAUCCGAGGAGAUCCAUGUUCGAUUCAUGGUGUAGACA